UGCAAAGCAUAUUGCCGAAGACAGUAGGUGCCGUAAGGCGUAACCGUAGUACCUACCGAGGGAAUUUUUGAGAUGACUAUCAUCUUUAAAAUGACUAAUACCUCUCUGUCGAUGGCAGAGAGGUUUCUUUGUUUA
rnacentral:sRNA from 1 species